AGGUAGGCAGCAAACUCAACAGGACUUGGUUACGGGUAGAACACGCUUCCCCAGGGGAAGGAAAGAAGGGCUCCAAAACCACUGUCAGAUUUCUGGCAUGUCCAGGAAGAUGACUUGGGAAUGGAUACCCAGAGGAGGAUUGAGUUGGCGGUGGGAGAGCAAAGUGUUACCUUGGACGCGUGUCAUUUUGAGAUUGUGCAGGUGUCGAGCAUCUGCCGGCGGACGGGCGUGAGCUGAGAGGGGAGGCUGGAGAGGAGGACUCGUGAAUCGCCUGUGCCUUGAUGGUAACUGAAAGCCAUGGCCUCAUAGAAUGGCUUUUUAUCUGAUUCCAGAUAAGAGAGAUAAGAGAGAGCCUGGGGGAGAACCAAGGAAAGGGACUCUGGUUCUCUCGGGGAAGGGACCACAUCACCUUCAACCCAUCAGCUAACUCUUUAGCUCUUUAGCUCACCCCUUACCUUUGGUUCUUGAUGAAAAGGAAAUACAUCAAAAUGCUAACCUUAGUUAUCUUUGAAAAUGUAGGUUUUUUUUUUUUUUUUUUUUUAAGCCUGUCAUUGAGCAGACGUAAAAGGAAGUAGUAAAAUCAGAAGCCCGCAUAGUAGGAAAGAUCAGGAAGCGGCUGGUGGCUUCAUUAUGUUUCAAUGUUUUCAGCACAGUUCAUGUGUUAUCAAAUCUCUUUCACUAGCUGCUUUCCUCACGUGGGAGGUUUUAAAGAAUUGGCUGCUUGUAAUGUUCCCUAUUCUAAAAUAUUUAUGUUUAAAAGCAGGAAAAGCAUCGAGAUGAUUAUGGUCUUUAGCAGCAGGAUGGCGUUGCCACGAGUGAUGUGAAAUGAUGUAAACCACUCCUGGGAGGGCUGCUGUGUUUUAAACCUCACUUCAGCUUUUCCUCACCUCCGUCUGGUGAUGAACAGCAGACAGGAGAGAAGGCUUCGUGGGAGCUUGCGCAACAUGUGUGACAAUGGAUCAAUGGCCACAAAAGUCCCGCCAGCCUAAGCGGUAGCUCCUGAAGCGGUGGUUCACAAAAACACAUUCCUUCUGUGGUCAACGGGGGAGCGACGAAAAAGAGUUCCACGCUCAUCUCUCUGAGUUUAGGAAAUUCUGGGCUCUCUGAAGUUAAAUAGGUCUCCCUCCUACAGAAUUUCUCGGAGUCUCUAGCAUGAAGAUAUGCAUGGAGAGCCUGCCCGAGGGGUUCCACAGAAUUCUGGGUCUCUCCCCAGGUUUCGAAGAAUAUUCAUGGACACUCCUCUUCUCAAAAUCAAUGGUUUCUUACCGUCACGAGUACGUAAAAUGGGUAUUUAAACAACGCUUCACCUUGGGGAGAGAUGACUACGUUUUGAGGUAGCCUCGCACGACGAGCUUGACUUGAUUCCAACAGCUGGGGAACAAGGCCAUCGGUCAUUCGGUGAAUAAGGCCAUCGCUAUUUGUGACAUCAAAUCAAGAAGUCUCCAACCAACAGAGCAUCAGCCAAAGCGGUGGGCGUUUAUGAGGCGGCGAUCCAACUUCUGGGACCCGGAGGACAGCUGCCGUAUUUUGGUGCGCAUCCAUCGAGACCAACUGGUCUAUUGUUUUUUUAAAGGAAGCUCGAGGUCAGACCUCAGCGGGACCAGCCAACUGCUCUCCCCCGUUCCACAUUGAUCUCCAAAUGCCUGGCUCACAAGCCUUCCAUGGUGGAAACUGGAAAGUCCCGUCAUGCUUAGCAUUGCAUUUAAGAGUUUCUCAAGCUUGUGCACACAUGCCCUGAGCAGGGGGUGUGUGCAAGGUCACAGGACAAACAUCUACCCAUUUUAUUUGUAGAUUAAAAACAUUAUUUUUAUAUUUUAUGAUUAUAUUUAUACUAACAUGUGACCUAGAAUGAAAA